AUAUGUCAACAAGGAAGUAUACCUAGCACGGUAGCAUGUCAUUUUGGGAAGCAUACCCGUGGUCUCCUGUUCUUAUCGUCGGCUUAAUAGCUCUCGGUUUUGGUUUUUGUUUCUUCAUCUGCAGAUGCACUUACUCUAUCUAUAUGAAAUUUGAGAAAAGUAAUAACAUACCAGCACCUGAACCUGCUGUUAACCAGAUUUACACAACGCAUUAUGAUGACGUGCCUUCGACAGGUCCACAGGCAAUGGCCGGUCCUUGUCAGACGAUAGAACAUGAUGCAAGUACAUUCAACCAAGAAACAUAUCCACCUUGGCAGUGUGAGGACAAUACAAGAGAUGUUCUUCCACCAGCUUACAAUAGUGUUAUGUCAUACGAUAAAUUGACUUUAGUCAAAUAACUUUCCGCAAUAGUGACAUAUUUCACCUACAGUGUGUUUAAUUGUUCUAUUAUGAAAGUGUUGAUUUGGAAAAUCCUCAAACCCUAUGAAAUUUUACGGAAGUGACGUCACAUUCCAAUGAGGUGCGAAAUCACCAGGUUUUACUUCAACAGUUCAUAUGUUGCAAUCUUCAAGUUAAAGUUCUUGUACCCCAUUUUAUUUAUAUUGAUAUAAAACUUAGCAAGACU
rnacentral:sRNA from 1 species